rnacentral:rRNA from 1 species
CUGGCUCAGAACGAACGCUGGCGGCGCGUUUAAGCAUGCAAGUCGAGCGGCAAGGGCCUUCGGGCCCCUAGAGCGGCGGACGGGUGAGUAACACGUGGACAAUCUGCCCCCCGGCCCGGGAUAGCCCAGGGAAACCUGGAUUAAUACCGGAUGAGACGGGACCCGCGAUGGCGGGACCCGGGAAAGGCGCUGCGGCGCCGCCGGGGGAUGAGUCUGCGUCCCAUUAGCUAGACGGCGGGGUAACGGCCCACCGUGGCGACGAUGGGUAGCCGGCCUGAGAGGGUGGACGGCCACAUUGGAACUGAGACACGGUCCAGACUCCUACGGGAGGCAGCAGCUAAGAAUCUUCCGCAAUGGGCGAAAGCCUGACGGAGCCGACGCCGCGUGAACGAAGAAGGCCGUGAGGUUGUAAAGUUCUUUUCGGGAGGGGAACAACCGUGGCAGGGAAUGGCCGCGGGAUGACGUGAAUCCCGGAAUAAGCCCCGGCUAACUACGUGCCAGCAGCCGC